rnacentral:lncRNA from 1 species
GCUGCCCCCAGGUAGCCUGGCCACGAGGGCUUCCCAGCCAAGCAUGGGAGGUGCCCGUGGACUCAUACUUCCCUGGGAACAACUGUGUGGGAACGCAGCCUGCUCAGCACCUUGACUCUGGAGCUGGCAGAGUGGCCCUGGGCCUUUGCUCUGCCCCCUGGAGAUUCACAGCCCACACUGAUGCUGGACAGCAGUGGCUGCUCUCCUCAGAGCUGAAUGUGGAUGCUUCCCUUGGAUUGAAGAACCCUCCCAAUGCAGAGCGUGAUGCUCUCGAAGGCUCAGGAUGUGCCACCCAUGAGAUUCUGGCCCACGGCCUUCCUGAUCCAGCCACUGCCCUGAGACAGACGAUGAUGAAAAGGAAACCACGGUUCCGCCAGUGGGAAAUGACCUGCAGAUUCCCAGGCCCUGAGCUUAGGGCGCAGAGUCUCAGUUCUGCUCUUCCCACGGCUGCUGUCCUGACAGCCCAGUAACUGCCGCAGGGAAGCCCAGUGGGACUGUCAUCCUCCUCACACGAAGGGCCGCGUUCCCUGAGGCCACACAGCUCCUUGGCUUUUCUGCCUUGCCUUCCCGGCUUGGCCAGCUCCACCACCUCUUCCUCCCGGGAGCAGGGCCUCACCAAUCACGUGCACUCAGCUCCCCUUCUUGGCCUCUCUUGGGGACCAG